UACAGAGGUCUCAAGCGUUGUUCGGAUUCAUUGGGCGUAAAGGGCGUGUAGGUGGCGCGCUAAGUCGGGUGUGAAAUUUCGGAGCUUAACUCCGAAACUGCAUUCGAUACUGGCGUGCUUGAGGACUGGAGAGGAGACUGGAAUUCAUGGUGUAGCAGUGAAAUGCGUAGAGAUCAGGAGGAAGACCAGUGGCGAAGGCGGGUCUCUGGACAGUUCCUGACGCUGAGACACGAAGGCCAGGGGAGCAAACGGG
rnacentral:rRNA from 1 species